AGCCAGACUCCUACGGGAGGCAGCAGUGAGGAAUAUUGGUCAAUGGGCGCGAGCCUGAACCAGCCAAGUCGCGUGAGGGAUGACGGCCCUACGGGUUGUAAACCUCUUUUGCCGGGGAGCAACGGGCGCCACGUGUGGCGCCACUGAGAGUACCCGGAGAAAAAGCAUCGGCUAACUCCGUGCCAGCAGCCGCGGUAAUACGGAGGAUGCGAGCGUUAUCCGGAUUUAUUGGGUUUAAAGGGUGCGUAGACGGCAGCGCAAGUCUGGAGUGAAAUCCCAUGGCUUAACCAUGGAACUGCCUUGGAAACUGUGCAGCUGGAGUGCAGGAGAGGUAAGCGGAAUUCCUAGUGUAGCGGUGAAAUGCGUAGAGAUUAGGAAGAACACCAGUGGCGAAGGCGACUUACUGGACUGUAACUGACGCUGAGGCAUGAGGGCAUGGGGAGCAAACAGGAUUAGAUACCCGCGUAGAC
rnacentral:rRNA from 1 species